rnacentral:rRNA from 1 species
CCUACGGGAGGCAGCAGUGGGGAAUAUUGCACAAUGGGGGAAACCCUGAUGCAGCGACGCCGCGUGAGCGAUGAAGUAUUUCGGUAUGUAAAGCUCUAUCAGCAGGGAAGAAGAUGACGGUACCUGACUAAGAAGCCCCGGCUAACUACGUGCCAGCAGCCGCGGUAAUACGUAGGGGGCAAGCGUUAUCCGGAUUUACUGGGGGUAAAGGGAGCGUAGACGGCGUUCCAAGCCAGAUGUGAAAGCCCGGGGCUCAACCCCGGGACUGCAUUGGGAACUGUCGGGCUGGAGUGUCGGAGAGGCAGGCGGAAUUCCUAGUGUAGCGGUGAAAUGCGUAGAUAUUAGGAGGAACACCAGUGGCGAAGGCGGCCUGCUGGACGAUGACUGACGUUGAGGCUCGAAAGCGUGGGGAGCAAACAGGAUUAGAUACCCGUGUAGUC